rnacentral:rRNA from 1 species
UACGUAGGGUGCGAGCGUUGUCCGGAAUUAUUGGGCGUAAAGAGCUCGUAGGCGGUGUGUCGCGUCGGCCGUGAAAACCUGGGGCUCAACUCUGGGCGUGCGGUCGAUACGGGCAUCACUUGAGUUCGGCAGGGGAGACUGGAAUUCCUGGUGAUAGCGGUGAAAUGCGCAGAUAUCAGGAGGAACACCGGUGGCGAAGGCGGGUCUCUGGGCCGAUACUGACGCUGGAGGAAGCGAAAGCGUGGGGAGCGAACAGG